CUUUACUACGAACUCCGAUCUUUAUAUCACUCACAAAAACAUUCAAAUCUUCAAACUCACAUUAUUUUAUACUCUGUGGAUCUCCACCUUGGAUCUGUGGAAUUCCCACCUUGCUCUGCAUCUAUAAGCUAAGGAAGUUGUGACCAACUUGAAGCAAACACAACCUCAAGUCGCAGAAUCAGCAAUGUGGUUGGAGGCCACUGGUGGUAUGAGGAAAGGGGGGUACGUUUCAGGAUUUGGGUCGGAUACCGCACACUUCUUCCCCGAGGCUAGGAUACACAGGAAAUCCAAUAUUGGGUCAUCAACUUCACAUUCAUCUUGUGAAGCUCGAAUUAGGCAAUUAGAGGAGCAAAAUCAAGUGAUGCAACAGCAGCAACAAGAUAUGCAUGAAGAAAAUCGGAGGAUCCGUAAUAUCGUCCAGAAAAUGGAAGCAACACUUGCCCAAUUUAGUGCAAAUCUUGGUAGUCUUGAUCAAGAUCCAAACAAAAAUAGCUCUACACUACCCCCCUCCACCUCCGAUGAUGAUACACUAGCCCCCUCUAGUCAAGAUUAGAUAGCAUAUUAUUUGAACGAUUUGAAAACUUGUUUUGGAUAGUGAAACAUAGCUGCAAACAAUAGCUAUAUUUUUUAUAGUGAAGCAACUGCUACACUUUGGAUUAUUUGAAUGAUUUGAAAACCUGUUUUGGAUGGUGAAA